rnacentral:lncRNA from 1 species
CAAUUUUAGUUAUUUGUAACUGUUGUUUGCUAAGUCAUAACACGGUCAUGGAUAACAUGAAAAAAUAAAAUAUACUCAGCCCCCUCGCAAGGACACAAAUUUAACAACUAUCCACACAGUAGAAAACACCUCCAUAAGAACCCAAAAUCAGAGGAACUCUCAUAGUAUCUGCUUGUAUCACUGAAAGAGGCACUGAAGAGUUAGAAGAAACAGUCUUAAAUCGCUGACCCCACCCCUUCCCUAUCCUAGGCAGUGGCAGUGUGGUGUAAAG